UUUAAAUUGCCAACACAUGAAUUAAAUCAGAUGCUGAUCAAUCAUCAGAGUCUCAACUCACAAAUGACAAAGAUUUUUAAAUCUCCAAUUAGUUUUGAUGAUGAAAUAACCAGAGGCCCAUUUCAGAAAGAAGGUUAAGUGAAAACUCUGAAUGUGUAAACCCUGAAAUGAGGGAAAAUCUGGGUUUUCUGUUUCAGAAUGUGAGGAUGUGUAAUCCCUCAUUUAGAAGCUCCAGCAAACGGACAAGGACAGGCUGCCCUCCCUCAUACAAGCUACCAACACUGGACUAUGGACACAGACAGAACUCACUAUUAGAGCUCUCACCUGGUGGGAUAGCCGCUCCAUCCUCUCAUGCAGAACCGCAGGUAUCUUCACGCUCAAGUCCUGUCCGCCCAAGAUGUACUGGUCUACCUGUCUAUGGAUCACACUCUCCACCACUUUUCGAUC